UUUAUGAUUAUUUAUGAUUAUAAAUUAUUAUAUAACCCUUUACCUUCCAUCUUAGAAUCAAUACAUGAUUCUAAAGCAGAAGAGUGAUAAGGGCUAGGCAAUGGGGGUCAAGUGACUUGCCCAGGGUUACAUAGCUUGGAAGUGAGUGAGGCUAGAUCUGAACCCAGGACCUCUCAUCUCUGGGCCUGGCUCUCAAUCCACUGAGCCACCCAGCUACCCCCAUAUCUUUCUAAUGGCCUCAAGUUAUUCUCCACUGAAAUCCAUCUUCAAUUCAUCUUCCAAAGUGAUUUUCCUGAGGCCUAGUUCUGACCAUGUUGCCCCCUUAUUCUGUAGACUGGUAACUCCCUUAUUACUUCCUGAAUCAAAAAGAAAGUCCUCAAUUUUUCACUUAAAACUCUUUGUAGCCUGGCUUCUCCCUGCCUUCCUGUCUUCUUUCCCUCUCAUCCAUGCCCCAGUGCACUGGCCUUCUUGCUAUUCCCCCCAUGCAACACUCGGUGUCUUUUCACUGGCCACCUCCAGGCUGGGGAUGCUUCCCUGACUUCCUUCCACACUCGGCUCACGUGUCUCCUUCUGGAGGCGUCUUCUCGAGGUCACGUCUGGCUAAGCCUGGUAGAGUGGUGGGGUGGCUGGGAAGAUCAGCGCCCCGCCCCCUUCUGAGAGUUCUCUGGGAAUUUCUGGUCCCUCGCUCCCCGAGCCGGUGCAGGGCCUGGAUCUCUCUUCUGCUCCCUCCAAACUCCCGAGGACUGCUCUUCUCCAGCUGAGAUGACCUUCUAUUUUUCUACCUGCGUGUCCUCCAUUAGAGGGCAGCGACUAUUUUAGUUUUUCUUUGUAUCCUCAGUGUUUUGUUUAGCUAGGUUUAGGGUGGCUAGAUGGCACGGUAGAGAGAGUGCUGGACUUAGAGUCUGGAAGACCCGAGUUCAAAUGUGACCCUGGGCAAGUCACUUACCUCUGUUUGCCUCUGUUUCCUCAUCUGUGAAAUGAGCUGGAGAAGGAAAUGGCUAAACACUCUAGUAUCUUUACUAAGAAAACCCCAAAUGGGGUUAUAAAGAGCUGGGCACAACGGAACAUCAAAUUUGGGGGCUAGGUGGGGCACUGGCCUUGGAAUUUGGAAGUCUCAUCUCCACGAGUUCAAAUCCAGCCUCAAACACUUUCUAGUUGUGAGACCCUGGGCAAGUCAUUUAACCCUGUUUGUCUCUGUUUCCUCAUCUGUCAAAUGAGCAGAAGAAGGAAAUGGCAAAUGGGUCUGGUAUUGUUGCCAAGAAAACCCCAAAUAGGGUCAUGAAGAGUAAGACACUCAAUAGCAACAAUAAAUUGAGCACAAUAAAUGAUUGUUGGAUGAUUGACUUUUUAAAAAAAUAAAUUAAAAAAAAUAAUAACCCUUCCCUUCCGGCUUGGAAUCAAUACUGUGUAUUGGUUCCAAGACAGAAGAGUGGCAAGGGGUAGGCAAUGGGGGUCAAGUGACUUGCCCAGGGUCACACAGCUAGGACGUGUCUGAGGCCCGAUCUCAAGGUCUGGCUCUCAAUCCACUGAGCUACCCAGCUGCCCCCUGAUUGAUUUUUCUGAUAGGACCACUGGUCAGUCCUGUAGAGAAAAGCAAUAACAAUAGCUGGUAUUUGUAUUACACUUGGAAGAUUUCCAAAUUUUAUCUUGUUUUAUCCUUGUAACCUGUAUUACUGUUAUUAUUGAUAACAUUGUAAAAGUCAUAUUUUAUUAAUCGUUAAUCAUUAUUAUUAUUUAUUAUUAAUCUCUAUUUUACAGAAGAGAAAACUGAGGCACAGAGCCGUUAAGUGACUUGCCACAGCUAGUAAGUGUCUGAGGUCAUAUUGGAACUCGGGACUUCCUGAUUCCCAGGUCCAGCACUGCCCCUACUGUGUCCCCUAGCUGGCUUAGGUUGGGAAAAUGAGUCCUUCCAGUGAGGACAGGAAGCAUCCUGCCCCACUCCCUCUUCUAGGCAGCUACCCUGGGAGUGGUCAUGGCCCGGACAGAUCCCCGAAAGCCCAUUACCUGGCUCCGGUGGCAUUCCUUAUCCUGGUGACUCCAGUCUUGCCACAGCUCCUGCAACCUUCCCUGGCCCCCCUGGAAGGUGGGAUCGGGGCCAUGCUUCAUGCAGUGGAUCUGUUUCAAGGGAGAAGGGGUGUCAGUGCCAGGUUUAGGGCCCCCCAGCUAGGGAUCCGGGAGCAACAGAAAGGUGCUGGGGGUUGUUGUACCCAAGGGAGGGCUCUGGCUUUAGCCUCACCUCUGGAAAACCUUCCCACCAAAAGGAAUGGCUCUUCUCCUUUCCUGGAGGUCGAGGGUUCUGGUUUGUGCUGCCUCCUUGAGCUGAGCUCAUCCUUUCUGACUCUUCUCAUCCUGGGAUGGCAUGUGGGGUGUUUGGGAAAAGUAGCAGAGCCGUCCCCCAAUACCUGCUCUUCUGUGGGAAUUCCUGGCUCCUGGUUCCCACUCCCAGAAAGGGAAGUGCCCUGAGGGCAGGGCUGGGAUCUCUGUCUGCUUCCCCUAAACUCCCCAAGGACAAGGGGCUACCCUGGCGUUCAAGGCCCUCCACAAUAUGGCGAGCCAGCCUUAUUUAUCAGGAUUCUCCUCUUGAUUUCAGCCAAACAAGACUAAAGCUCCAAGUUCUCCCUGCCCCCUCUGUCCCCCCAUCAUGGCUGAGCCCAGGGCUGGGAUCUGGAGAAUUGAUAUAAGAUGGGGAAACAAAGGCAUGGAAGGGCCAGGAAAAGUGACCUGCCUAGUAUCAGAGGGUGCUGGAUCCAGCCCAGCUUCCCCAGCUUGGGGUUCGCAAACGAAUUGAGCUACAAAAGAAGUCAUAGCGAGCCUGGACAAACGAUAAUGCGCCUAUUACAGAAUCUUUUGGGGACUGAAAACCAAACCUAACAACAGGACAGAGGAAAGGAACCCUCCUGCUGGACUCAACUUAAAAGGCAAUGAACAAAGAGCAAAUGUAACAGAGGAAGAUCAAGUAACACCAAGCAAAAACACAGACACUCCAGAGAAUUGGACACAGGCUUUGGAAGAACUCAAAAUACAAUUCAAAACACAAUUAAGAGAGGCUGAAGACAACUGGGAAAAGAACUUAAAAAGCAAGAUAAGUCAUCUGGAAACAGAAAAUAGUGUCUUGAAAGCCAAAAUUAAUCACCUUGAAAAUGAGGCAAAGGAGAUGAAAGAUAACCUCCAAAGAAAAUCAGACCAGAAGGAGAAGGAUGACCAAAAAGCCAGGGAUGAAAUUCAGUCUUUAAAAACCAGAAUCCAACAAUUAGAAGCAAGCUACUUCACAAGGCAGCAGGAAACUAUAAAACAAAAUCAAAAGAAUGAAAAAAUUGAGGAAAAUAUGAAACACCUCAUUCACAAAACAGAAGAUUUAGAAAAUAAUUCUAGAAGAGACAAGUUAAGAAUCAUUGGUCUACCAGAAGACCAUGACAAAAGAAAAAGCCUGGACAUCAUCCUAUGGGAAAUUAUCUAGAAAAACUACCCCAACAUUCUAGAACAAGAGGGAAAAUUGAAAGAAUCCACAGAUCGCUUCCUGUACUUAAUCCCCAACUGACAACACCCAGGAAUGUUAUAGCCAAAUUCAAGAACUACCAGACCAAGAAAAAGCUAUUACAAGCUGCUAAGAGAAAGUCAUUCAGAUACUGUGGAACUACAGUGAGGAUAACACAGGAUCUGGCUGCAUCUACACUGAAGGACUGAAAGGCAUGGAAUAUGAUAUUCUAGAAAAUAAGGGAACUAGGUCUACAACCAAGAAUCAAUUACGCAGCAAAAUUGACUAUAUUCUUACAAGGGAAAGUAUGGUCAUUUAAUAAAAUAAAAGAAUCCCAAGCAUUCGUAAAGAAAAGAACAGACCUGAACAGAAAAUUUGAUGCCCAAACAUAGAACUCAAGAGAAUCAUCCAAAGGUAAUUAAGAAAGGGGGAAAAACAAACAAACAAACAAACAAACAAAAACCCUUUUUUUAAAGGGACCCAAUAAGUUAAAAUGAUAUGUAUCCCUAUAAGAAAAGAGGUCAUUGGUAACUCUUAAAAAUUGUUAUUAUCACCUGGGUAUCUAGAAGAAUUAUACUUAGAGGGAACAGUGACAAACUGUAUAGGAUGAAAUGCUAAGACAUAAAUAUGUAUACAGAUAUAUGUAUGCAUAAAUAUAUAUGUAUGUGCAUAUAUAUAUACAUAUAUAUACAAUUAGAGUUUUAAAAAAAGACAUUAAUACUAAGAGAAAUGGGAAAAGAAACAAAAUGGGGUAAAUUUAUAUAUCACAAAGAAGCACAUGGUGGGAGCAGGGAGAACAUCAAUACACUGGAAGGGUAAAGAGGUUGGAGAUAGGAAAUACUCAAGUCUUACAUGCAUUGAAAUUGACUCAAAGAGGGAAGAACAAUCAAAUACAUUGGGGCAGAGAAUUGAUUUGUGCCCUAUAGGGAAGUAGAAGGGUAACAAAUGGACUGGUGGGGAGGGAAGCAAUACAAGGGAGGGAGAGGGUGGGGGAGUAGUUUAAAAAGACUGUAAAGAAAAUAAGAGGGGAAUAAGAAUGCAGGAAGGGUAGAAAGGGAAGUAAAAUAGGGUGGGAAUUAGGGGAACUGAUUAAAAACAAAACACUGGUGUAGAAGGAAAUAGUGAAAGAAGAAAGGGCAGUGGAGUGGAAAAUGGAGAUAUUAGCUGUUGAAAAUACCAGUAGCAGGUAGAACCAAGAUGGCGGAGAAGCAAGGAGACAUACAGAGAACUUGCCUCAUCUCCACAAACUCCUCCAAACAGAUCUAGAAAACAAACCAGAGCAAAUACUGAUUGAGGAAUCUAAAAAAAAAUAUUAAGAGUCAUGUUUCCAGCCCAUGUCACAGAGGACAGAGGGUGCAGGUCCGAAGACCCUGAGAAUGAGUUUUUGGCAGGAGUAUGCAAUGAGGAACAUUCCAGUCCAGGGAGAGGUUGUGCACUAAGGCAAGAAAGAUCUAAGUCAUACAUCCUUUUGAGGCUUUCCUUGCUGAACAAUGUGAGGUAUCUAGUUUUCCCUACAGUUUUUGUCAAUAGUUAAUCAUUCCUCCAAUAGCUAGAGACUUUGGAUUUGUUGAAUACUAAAGCUAAGUUCAUUUUCUUCUGUAUGUCAUGUAUCCAAGGGUGAAGGGUGACAGAAAAGCCCAAACCCACAGAUGCAGCACAUAAUGAGAGGAGCAAGAGUGUAGGCAACUACAGGGGGAAAAGAAGGGGGCAAAUAUGAGCAAACAACAGAAAAAGAAAAAAGAAAUUAUAGUCAACAGCUUCUGUAUGUUGUGUACCUAAUCUGUUCCUCUGAUUGAUCUCUUUAUUUUUAUCAAAAAACCAAAUCAUUUUCAUAAACACUUCUCUGUAGUGCAGUAUGAGAUCUAAUAUUUGUUGACUCCCUUUCUUCUCACUUUUUCCCCCUUUUAUUUUGACUAGAAAUCUCAACCUUUUGUUGUUCUAGAUGAAUUUCAUUAUUAUUUUUCCGAUUCUAUAAAGUAAUUCUUUGAUAUUUUGAUUGAUAUGGUGCUGAAUAAAUAUAAUAAUUCAUGUAAUAUUUUAUUAUAUUGUCUUGGCCUACCCAUGAGUAAUUACUAUUUGUCCAUUUAUUUGUCUUUAGUUCUAUAAACAAUAUUUUUAUCAUAUUCAUAUAGUUCUUUUGUGUAGCUUUAUGGGUAGACUCUCAAAUAUUUCAUGCAUUCUGUAGUUAUUUUAAAUGAAUUUUCUCUUCCUGUUGGGCUUUAUUGGUAUUAUACAGAAAUGUUGAUGAUUUAUAUAAAUGUAUGUCUUUUUUAUUUUUAUUUUUAUUUUUUCACUUUAAACAUUAUUUUAUUUGGUCAUUUCCAAACAUUAUUCAUUGGAAACAAAGAUCAUUUUCUUUUCCUCCCCCCCCCCCUUCCCACCACCUCUCCCAUAGCUGACGCACGAUUCCACUGAGUAUCAUAAAUGUAUGUCUUGACAGUAUUAAUUAAACUAAUUUUGAGUUGA